rnacentral:rRNA from 1 species
UACAGAGGUGGCAAGCGUUUGUUCGGAAUUACUGGGCGUAAAGGGCGCGUAGGCGGUUCGGUAAGUCCUGUGUGAAAUCCCCUCGGCUCAACUGAGGAACUGCACGGGAGACUGCCGGGCUUGAGUUCGGGAGAGGGAAGCGGAAUUCCGGGUGGUAGCGGUGAAAUGCGUAGAUAUCCGGAGGAACACCGGUGGCGAAGGCGGGGUCUCUGGGCCGAUACUGACGCUGAGGAGCGAAAGCGUGGGGAGCGAACAGG